rnacentral:rRNA from 1 species
UGCUUGAUCCUGGCGGCGGAUGAACGCUAGCGGGAGGCCUAAUACAUGCAAGUCGAGGGGCAGCAUUUCACUUCGGUGGAGAUGGCGACCGGCGCACGGCGUGAGUAACGCUGUACACAACCUACCUUUAAGAGGGGGAUAGGCUUGGGAAACUGAGAUUAAUACCCCAUGUUAUUGAUUUUUUUAGAUUGAAGUCAAUCAAAACUCCGGUGCUUAGAGAUGGGUGUGCGUCCUAUUAGGUAGUUGGUGAGGUAGAGGCUCACCAAGCCGACGAUAGGUAGGGGGCGUGAGAGCGCGACCCCCCACACGGGUACUGAGACACGGACCCGACUCCUACGGGAGGCAGCAGUAAGGAAUAUUGGACAAUGGGCGCGAGCCUGAUCCAGCCAUCCCGCGUGCAGGAUGACAGCCCUAUGGGUUGUAAACUGCUUUUGUAGGGACUAAUAGUCAUGAUUAUCAUGGUGUGACGGUACCUGAAGAAUAGCACCGGCUAACUCCGUGCCAGCAGCCGCGGUAAUACGGAGGGGCAAGCGUUAUCCGAAUACUGGGUUAAGGGUGCGUAGGCGGAGUCGCAGUAGAGUGAAUACCUGGCUAACCAGGAUUCUUUGAUCUGCGCUCUUAAUAGUAGGUGCGAAUUACUUACGGGAAUCUAGUUGUAUACCCAUGCAGG